rnacentral:rRNA from 1 species
CUAAGUUUGAUGGCGACCGGCGCACGGGUGGGUAACACGUAUCCAACCUGCCGAUGACUCGGGGAUAGCCUUUCGAAAGAAAGAUUAAUACCCGAUGGCAUAGUUCUUCCGCAUGGUAGAACUAUUAAAGGAUUUCGGUCAUCGAUGGGGAUGCGUUCCAUUAGGUUGUUGGCGGGGUAACGGCCCACCAAGCCUUCGAUGGAUAGGGGUUCUGAGAGGAAGGUCCCCCACAUUGGAACUGAGACACGGUCCAAACUCCUACGGGAGGCAGCAUG